UGCGUGGCGUGGGCGGGUGGGUGGGUGAUUAAUUACAGACUCGGCUUGUGACAGAGGUGAACUCCGUGGUGGUACUGUCUGCUGCCGACAUGGAGGGAAAGUCUACCCGGCUAAUUGACCUGGCUUCUGUAAGGCCAUCCAUCAAGCGUGGCCCAAGUGGCCCCGUAAGAAACACAUUAUUCAGAGUCGCAGCGUCACACUACCAGAUCAAUAUCUUCCUGUGUCUUGGACCUGGCGAGAUGUCACAAAACAAUUCCGUCACCGACCAGACUUCGCGUCCUUCUGUCAAGAUCGGUGACGGUGUACCUAAUGCUAUGGCCGUCGAGUGCAUGAUCACAACUUUUGGGAGCAGAUGCUGCAUGAGUCCUAUUGCGUGAGCAGCCUCAAAGCGCCACCUACCUGGUUGGGUGGUGGCGUUUGGCAGAGACAUCCUGCAAACUGUUGUCAUGGUGAUCAAAUUGAUUGGCAGGGACGCCUGAUUUGAAAGGAAGAAUAGAGGACAGGUGGAAGGAGGCGGGGUGUACAUCUAGUUGAACAGAUUGGGACAAACUGAGGACUCGCUGGGUGUCAUAAGGGGAGCCACUGUCUGUUUUGGCUCUGCUUACACCUUGUAAAAGACAACCAGUAAUUACUCCAACCGUCCGUAGAGAGUACUGUAUUGGCGUUCUCUUCUGAACCUUUAACAGUAACGCCAGAUGUUCUCCUUUCUGGUUUGAAUACAAUUAAGUACAAUUAAGUAGAAUCCUUUUUGGAAUUGUCAUAUUGACAGAUUCUGCCCCAGGUUUCUGGCAGUAUUUUAUUUCUCACAUAGUUAAUUUGUACAAGCCCUAAAAGCAUCAAAUAUAUAUAUAAUAUAUAAACAAAAGUGCUUUUAUUUGUUCUUUUUCAUUAGAAACAUCAACAUUGAUGAUCGGCAUCAUAAGAGCAGUAUGGGAAACCUGCCAUUAAGUACCCAUUACUAUUAAAGUGGUGGUUCUGAUUGAGGGUGCGCUCAUUGUGCAGAGGUUGACCACCUGUGGGGGAAAGAUUGAUGGAGCUGAAACGGGGAUGAAAUAAUUUGUGCAAAGGGAAAACCAGCGGAAGCCAUUUGUAAGGAAUCCGUGGAAGAAAAAUACACAGAGGAAAAGAGACGGUACGGGAGAAGAGAUGAGGAAUGAGAACAGGGAGGAGCGAGAGGAAGGGAAUGGCACUCGGGGGACUGAGUCUCAACUGUUUGUGGUGACAGCCUCCGGUCUCUGGCCUCCUUCCCAACGCUUCCUGCUCCAUUUCCUUUUCUUUCAUUCCUAAUUUUUUUCUUAUUUUUUGAAUUAUUACUGUGUGGCUUGCUCGUGGUCACUUCCAGGUUCUGUCAGGUUCUCUCAUCCUUGUUAAAAACAAACAUAUGGCAUAUGUACUUUAAUUCUCACGAUACACUUGACAUUUCAUUAGUAGAAGCAGGGUGCCCUUUAAAUUCCACAAGGUAAUGGAGGCAAUCCAACGUGUUGAUUUUGGUUCUAUUGACGUGAUUGCAUCACAAGCUUGAUGCAUAUUUUAGAACUGUAACUCUACGAUGCAAAUGUGCUGUUCCAGCCCAUCCCAUUA